rnacentral:rRNA from 1 species
GUGGGGAAUCUUGCGCAAUGGGCGAAAGCCUGACGCAGCGACGCCGCGUGCGGGAAGAAGGCCUUCGGGUUGUAAACCGCUUUCAGGAGGGACGAAGCCACUCGGGUUAAUAGCCCAGAGGGUGACGGUACCUCCAGAAGAAGCCCCGGCUAACUACGUGCCAGCAGCCGCGGUAAUACGUAGGGGGCAAGCGUUGUCCGGAUUUAUUGGGCGUAAAGAGCGUGUAGGCGGCCUGGAAGGUCUGCUGUGAAAACUCGAGGCUCAACCUCGAGACGCCGGCAGAAACCCUCAGGCUAGAGUCCGGAAGAGGAGAGUGGAAUUCCUGGUGUAGCGGUGAAAUGCGCAGAUAUCAGGAAGAACACCCGUGGCGAAGGCGGCUCUCUGGGACGGUACUGACGCUGAGACGCGAAAGCGUGGGGAGCGAACAGGAUUAGAAACCCUUGUAGUCC